rnacentral:misc_RNA from 1 species
AGAAUGGCCUAUUUGGUGAUUGCCGCCUUGUGCGUAAGCAACCUCUAGUUGUUUACGAUGAAAUAAGCCACAUGUUAAUGAUCGACACCAAAGCAUAUUAAAGAUCAACGAUUCUUAGUUUUAGUGAUUAAAAACAAAGGUACUUCAUUCAGCAUUAAAACGACAUGUUAUUAAUUGAAGAUGAACAUCAUUCGUUGAUUUAAUCAACAGUUUAACAUUAAAAUGGAUUAUUAUUAGAAUAAACUUUAUUCAGUUUCAUAUGACUCAAAAUCAAGAGUUGCCGUAAAUCAAAUAAUAAUGUAGGCAAAAACUGUGUCAUGCCUUGGGAACUGGAGAAUUCACUUACAUGCACAAGUGUACAAAAACAACAAAUACAAUAGAGAAGAAUGAAACUUGAUUCAAAGAGAGAAAGGGAGCAGUGAAUAACUUGGGAUGCUUAAUUAGAAAGGGUAUCAUCUAAUAUACAGUACAAACAGCUUGGAACAGAAGAAGACCACUAGACAUAAAGAAAGAAAGUUAGAUGAGCGAAAACUCAGAAUCAAUGGCCCUUACAUGGACCCUUAAAUUAUAACACACACAAAACAAAUUAGCUCUUCGACUUUGAGUGCUUUACAAGCCAAUCAAUAACAGAAUCGAUGUUGGUUGAGUUCUUGCAAGAGAUCAUGAAGCAGCAAACUUCUCUGUCAGUAAUUGACUUCAAAUCCCUGCAAAACACAUGGCCAUUUUCAGUAUCAGAACAAUGAACAUAUCUAUAAUAAGCAACUUCAAAUGUAUCAAAAUUCACUGAAUAAGUGUUGAAUAUAUCAUACAUUUCAUCAGUCAAAGCCUGCUUUGACAGAGCUCCUGGCUUGUCAAUCUUGUUCCCCAGCACUAACAAAGGGAUACCAUUCAAUGAUGGUUUGCUCAACAAAUCAUGAAGUUCACUUCUUGAGAUGCUCAGAUUAUCAGGAUCAGCUGCAUCAACCACGUAACUGCAGCAAUAAACAAACUUAAAAUUCGUUAGUCAUCAUCCAAUUAAGAAAUGGCUUGAGCAAACAAUAGCCAAAUUUGACCAUCAAAAUGUUAGUGCGUUCAUAACUAUAACUUCAGAUGGACGAGAAAGUAAGAAACAAGGUCCAAUACACAGGACAUCUGAUUAAAGACUAAAUAUUUAAAUUAGAAAUGAGAAUUUCAUCUGUGACAACAAUUUGUCCAAUUUUAUGUGAUCUAAACCAAGCCAAAAAGAAGCAGGAGAACCAUUAUAAUUCAUGUGAAUGUGUCAAAUGAUCUUCAACAACUACAAAGUAAGCUGGAGGCUGAAAUUUCUUCAAGACACAACCUAACAUCUGAGACUGGAAAGCCAUUUCCUAGUCAAGGCAUUCACUCCAUCCUGACAUCCUAAAACUACAUAACCAGUAUAUAGGUUAUACCUUGACAAGACACGAUUCUUUAACAAAAGUUUUGCUCAAUAAAUGCUCCAGCUUUAAUCAAAAUUUAUAGUUUAUGGAAGGUUCAAUAUUUGGAAUAGGAAGAACUCUUUCCAGGCAAUUCAAUAGAACUCUGGUGUUGAAUCUUUUCCUCCAGUUCAUAAACAAAGGUUCCAACCUGGAAAUACAUGUAAUCUUAAUUUCUAAUAUAUCUAGCAGCUUUUCGCAUUUGAGAGAAACAUAAUGCAUUAUCUUCCAUUCAUGAAGUAUUAGAACUGUAUUUUAGCAUAAAUAUCUCAAACUCCCAGCAAAACUAGUUUUCAAAUUUCUCGACCUGGCAAAAUUGAAAAGCUGGUCUCUUUAACAAGAAAACUGGAAAUCACUGGAAAGUAAAUUUGUACCAAUAGAAGAUAACAAACAUAAAAUAUGACACUAAGGAAACAUGUGAAUCAUAACUAUCAAUGAGCCAAUUUGGGUGAAAUAAUUCCAUACACAAUGGCAGAAACCGCGCGACAAUAUCGCUCCCACAUACUGCGGAAUCUAGGUUGACCUCCAAGAUCCCACAACUUUAUUGUCACAUUCCCCUUUGUUACUUUUUUCAUGUUGAAACCUACCUGAAGAUUAAAUGACACACUAUUAAGUAAACAUAAUAUUUACACAAGCCAAGAAAUAUUAACAGAUACAGAAAUUAGAUGGAAGAGGGAAAAAUUAAACCAAUGACUGAGAGAACAUCCCUAUUUGCAAAAGGCAACAAAAAACCUUCUGGAAAUAUAGUUCAAUCAAAUGAAAAACUUUUCUGAAAGAUAACUUACCGUGGGAAUCAUGUCUUCACUAUAUCCACCAGUCUAGGAACAAGGCCAAGAAGUCAGUUUCCAGUAGAUCACCCAAGAAGCUAAGAAAAGGAAAGACAUAUCUGAUACGUGCAAUAAUAUACUUACUGCGACAACAUUUACAAGAGAAGUCUUUCCAGCAUUCUGAAGUCCUAUCAAAGACAGCUCCAUCUCCUGCUUGAAAAAGAGGCUGCAGUCCCAUAUACAAGAAAGUGAGCUGGGCAUGUGAAUGACAUCCAUAAAGGUCAAUAAUAAAUGCAACUAAUAAAGAAAAUAAAAUUAGAAAAGCUUUCUCCUAGCAUGUGCCUGGAUUCCAGAUACAAAGAAAUAACCUCUGCUGCUCUGCAUCAAAUGCUCAGUCAAAGCAUGCAUCUUUCUAGUUACACAAGAGCUGCAGUCAAGGAAAAUUCAAUUUAGGAAUUAUGUUGAUUUAAUUUUUCAUUGUAAAAUUAAGUAGUUUAGUUUUUAUUGUUUAGGAAAUUUAAUUAGAAAGUAAUAUUUGUAUUAUUUAGGAAUAGGUUUAGUAUUUUCCAAUUUAUCAUUGUUUUUGGAUUUCUAAUUAGAGAUUGCUUAGUAAUUUCUUGUUUGGGGUUCUAAAUCCUAGUACUAAUAGGAUUAGUUGAUAAACUAUAAAAAACUGUGCUUUACAUAUUUUAAUAGACUAUUAUUAUAAUUAUUAUUGAUAUUCAGAAUUAAUUAAGAUAUGAGAAUUUGUUUCUUUUCCUCUGUGUUCUAUUGGUUCUACAUCAGUUUGUUUGGAGAAUUGUGGGUAGUUCACCUGCGCGAGGCUCAUAUAUGGUCUCUUUCUUUCCUAAAACCCAAGUUAUUUUGCUGGGUUUGGAUCUUAUUCUCUUGAAUAUGGGAUUUUUCUUGUUUUUUGAUAAACAAGUUCUUUUUGUUUUGUCCCAAUUUCCAACUUAAACCCCAUUUUCCAGUGCUAGAAUCAUAGAAUUUUAUUGUUUACUUUAAUUGUACUCUGCCUUAUUCUGAUAGUAUAUGACAUGGUAUCGUACAUAAUUGAGUUUAUGCACGUAAACCAAUUUUCUUGAUGAUUUAACUAAUGAGUAAAGAAUAGACACUUUUUUCAAUUUCAUGCUUUUCGGUUUAUCUUUCCACUCUUGUUUAUUUAUGUUUUCAGAUUACUAUCAAAAUCCGGUCCAUGGUGGUUCCUGCACAAAGACUUGCACAGUGCUCAACUUGCUAGUUGAGAUGUGAACACUACAGAAUCAAUUGGUAGACUAUUGGGGAAUGCUCUCAGACUAAGCUUUAGAGUAUUUCGUCCUCAUUCACUGGUCAACAAUUUUGACUAUCAGCUACUUCAGCAUAAUUGAAUGAUGUUGAAAGAAUUCCUCCAUUUUUUUUAAAGAUGAUAGAUGUCUUUUGAUUAUUGACUUCAUUUAAUAUUUUGGUUCAGCUGUAAACUAUUUAUUUUUUAAUUUUUCGUUAUGCCUUUGUUUAUGUUGCUCAUCCUUUAUUGAACUUCUUUCAUCUUUUUCACCUUGUUGAGACUUAGAGAUGCC